GACGAACGCUGGCGGCGUGCUUAACACAUGCAAGUCGAGCGGAGCGGCGAACGGGGGAGUAACGCGUGAGUAACUGACCCCCUCUCUGGGAUAACAGUUGGAAACGGCUGCUAAUACCGGAUAGUGGGGGAUGACGCGGGUCCUAUCGGCUUGUUGGUGGGGUAGUGGACGACCAAGUCGACGCCGGGGAGCCGGCCUGAGAGGGCGACCGGCCACAUUGGGCUGGGAUACGGCCCACACCCCUACGGGAGGCAGCAGUGGGGAAUAUUGCACAAUGGGGGAAACCCUGAUGCAGCAACGCCGCGUGCGGGAUGACGUCCUUCGGGUUGUAAACCGCUUUCAGCCAUGACGCGGUAGUGGCAGAAGAAGCACCGGCUAACUACGUGCCAGCAGCCGCGGUAAUAC
rnacentral:rRNA from 1 species